rnacentral:rRNA from 1 species
UGACGAGUGGCGGACGGGUGAGUAAUGUCUGGGAAACUGCCUGAUGGAGGGGGAUAACUACUGGAAACGGUGGCUAAUACCGCAUAACGUCGCAAGACCAAAGAGGGGGACCUUCGGGCCUCUUGCCAUCGGAUGUGCCCAGAUGGGAUUAGCUAGUAGGUGAGGUAACGGCUCACCAAGGCGACGAUCCCUAGCUGGUCUGAGAGGAUGACCAGCCACACUGGAACUGAGACACGGUCCAGACUCCUACGGGAGGCAGCAGUGGGGAAUAUUGCACAAUGGGCGCAAGCCUGAUGCAGCCAUGCCGCGUGUAUGAAGAAGGCCUUCGGGUUGUAAAGUACUUUCAGCGGGGAGGAAGGUGUUGUGGUUAAUAACCGCAGCAAUUGACGUUACUCGCAGAAGAAGCACCGGCUAACUCCGUGCCAGCAGCCGCGGUAAUACGGAGGGUGCAAGCGUUAAUCGGAAUUACUGGGCGUAAAGCGCACGCAGGCGGUCUGUCAAGUCGGAUGUGAAAUCCCCGGGCUCAACCUGGGAACUGCAUUCGAAACUGGCAGGCUUGAGUCUUGUAGAGGGGGGUAGAAUUCCAGGUGUAGCGGUGAAAUGCGUAGAGAUCUGGAGGAAUACCGGUGGC